AGAUGGUUCAGCUUCUAGAAUUCCAUUGUAUUUACCUUUGGUUUGGUCCUGAAAUCUCAAGAGCAUGAUUAUAAACUAUUCCUGUCCUGUUGGAGCCCCAAGAGAUGUGGUUGUGGAUUUUACAGUUUGCCUUUCAUGGUAAUUUCUUUAUCCCAGUGAAUGACCUGAUGCCUAAGUGUCCCACCCAUGACCAGAUGUCCCUCUCACAGGAAACUUGUUUAUAUUGGCAGUUACCUUUGUGGCUCUUCUCUGAACUGUGUUCAGUUCAUUCCACCAAGAUGGCCGCUCUAGGGGAGCCCUGGCCAGAAGGAGAGUGGGGCCCAGGUGUACCGACCAGGUGUGACACAGGAGAGGCAGCACAGUAAAACACAUGGAUCACAGAUCCCAGACAGAAGAGGGCAGCAGUCCUGGCAGGAACAACAAGAAGAGGACAGAUGAAAAGAACAUGGCUGCCGGUACAAGCCCCACGCCAAGACUAUAAUUCACAGCUCACCUUGCACCAGAGGAGGACCUGAAAGGUGAGAGGAGAUCUGGAAGGUGAAGGGAAGCAACAUACAGAUGUUCCUGGAUUUGUGAUGGCAAACCUGUGGAGCCAACACAUCCUCUGGACUUGGUUUGCAGGUCUUUUGCAGGGAACCAACACCAUCACUCUUCUCCUAGAAACAAGAGGCUCUAGGCCGGGACAAGGCCUAUCACUUCUGGACAUCUAGACCAGCCACCAAAUGGUCUAGCUGACUCAACCUGGGAAGCUGGGACAAAGAAGGGGAAUCAGGAAAAUCAGAAACUCCUGUGGCCAGGCAAGCUCCAGUGACCAAGGUGUGAUCAUCCCAGCGCUGAAAAGAUCACACCAACCCUGUGUCUCCCACACCAACCGAAGUGUCCCCACUGUGCAAGAAGUUGGGGUGUAAAGACCUCAGAGAGAACUAAGUUGGAGUUCAGAUCCAAACUCCAUUUCUUCUGUAACAUGGCAACUGAGUUUCUGUUCAUUCCUUUGGAGAUUGAGGACAUAACACCUUAUCUCCCUGGGCUGUCGUAUGUUCAUAAUGUUCACAAUAAUGUAUGUGAAAGGCCUGAG
rnacentral:lncRNA from 1 species